rnacentral:rRNA from 1 species
CUCAGGAUGAACGCUAGCUACAGGCUUAACACAUGCAAGUCGAGGGGCAGCAUGGUCUUAGCUUGCUAAGGCCGAUGGCGACCGGCGCACGGGUGAGUAACGCGUAUCCAACCUGCCUUACACUCUUGGACAGCCUUCUGAAAGGGAGAUUAAUACAAGAUGUUAUCAUGAGUAAGCAUUUUCGCAUGAUUAAAGGUUUACCGGUGUAAGAUGGGGAUGCGUUCCAUUAGAUAGUAGGCGGGGUAACGGCCCACCUAGUCUUCGAUGGAUAGGGGUUCUGAGAGGAAGGUCCCCCACAUUGGAACUGAGACACGGUCCAAACUCCUACGGGAGGCAGCAGUGAGGAAUAUUGGUCAAUGGACGAGAGUCUGAACCAGCCAAGUAGCGUGAAGGAUGAAGGUUCUAUGGAUUGUAAACUUCUUUUAUACGGGAAUAAACGGAUCCACGUGUGGAUUUUUGCAUGUACCGUAUGAAUAAGGAUCGGCUAACUCCGUGCCAGCAGCCGCGGUAAUACGGAGGAUCCGAGCGUUAUCCGGAUUUAUUGGGUUUAAAGGGAGCGUAGAUGGGUUGUUAAGUCAGUUGUGAAAGUUUGCGGCUCAACCGUAAAAUUGCAAUUGAUACUGGCAGUCUUGAGUACAGUUGAGGUAGGCGGAAUUCGUGGUGUAGCGGUGAAAUGCUUAGAUAUCACGAAGAACUCCGAUUGCGAAGGCAGCUUACUAACCUGUAACUGACAUUGAUGCUCGAAAGUGUGGGUAUCAAACAGGAUUAGAUACCCUGGUAGUCCACACGGUAAACGAUGAAUACUCGCUGUAGGCGAUAUACAGUCUGCGGCCAAGCGAAAGCAUUAAGUAUUCCACCUGGGGAGUACGCCGGCAACGGUGAAACUCAAAGGAAUUGACGGGGGCCCGCACAAGCGGAGGAACAUGUGGUUUAAUUCGAUGAUACGCGAGGAACCUUACCCGGGCUUAAAUUGCAACCGAAUAUGGCGGAAACGCUAUAGCUAGCAAUAGCGGUUGUGAAGGUGCUGCAUGGUUGUCGUCAGCUCGUGCCGUGAGGUGUCGGCUUAAGUGCCAUAACGAGCGCAACCCUUGCCGAUAGUUACUAACAGGUCAUGCUGAGGACUCUGUCGGGACUGCCAUCGUAAGAUGUGAGGAAGGUGGGGAUGACGUCAAAUCAGCACGGCCCUUACGUCCGGGGCUACACACGUGUUACAAUGGGGGGUACAGAGGGCUGCUACCACGCAAGUGGAUGCCAAUCCCAAAAACCUCUCUCAGUUCGGAUCGAAGUCUGCAACCCGACUUCAUGAAGCUGGAUUCGCUAGUAAUCGCGCAUCAGCCACGGCGCGGUGAAUACGUUCCCGGGCCUUGUACACACCGCCCGUCAAGCCAUGGGAGCCGGGGGUACCUGAAGUGCGUAACCGCAAGGAGCGCCCUAGGGUAAAACUGGUGA